UACGAAGGGGGCUAGCGUUGCUCGGAAUGACUGGGCGUAAAGCUUGCGCAGGCGGUUAUAUAAGACAGUUGUGAAAUCCCCGGGCUCAACCUGGGAACUGCAUCUGUGACUGUAUAGCUAGAGUACGGUAGAGGGGGAUGGAAUUCCGCGUGUAGCAGUGAAAUGCGUAGAUAUGCGGAGGAACACCGAUGGCGAAGGCAAUCCCCUGGACCUGUACUGACGCUCAUGCACGAAAGCGUGGGGAGCAAACAGG
rnacentral:rRNA from 1 species